CGUUGUGAGAUGAGCUUGCGUAGGAUUAGGUAGUUGGUAGGGUAAAAGCCUCCCAAGCCGAAGAUCCUUAGCUGAUCUGAGAGGAUGAUCAGCCACAUUGGGACUGAGACACGGCCCAAACGCUUUCGAGCGGCAGCAGUGAGGAAUAUUGGACAAUGGGCGAAAGCCUGAUCCAGCUAUAUCGCGUGGGUGAUGAAGACUGUGUUGGUUGUAAAACCCUUGACUCUUUGAAAGAUUAUGACACCCAAAGAGCAAAAAGUCCCGGCCAAUCUCGUGCCAGCAGCCGCGGUAAUACGAGAGGGGCGAGCGUUAUUCGGAAUGAUUGGGCGUAAAGCGCACGUAGGCGGUUUAGAAAAUCCGAAAUCGAGAAUCUCAAAGCUCUACUUUGAGAAGUAUUUUUUGUGAUUCCUAAACUUGAGUAAGUAAGAGGAGAGUGGAAUUCCUGGUGUAGAGGUAAAAUGUGUUGAUAUCAGGAGGAACACCAAAAGCG
rnacentral:rRNA from 1 species